CUGGAAGGUGAGGACAGGCCCUGGUUCACCGACAGCGUCCAGGGCCCAGCUCUAUGCCUGGCACACGAAUAACAUACACAGAAUAUGCUCAUCUGGAGCGUAUAGCUUGAUGAUUGCCUUACGUAUGCAUACACCCCUGUAAUCACCACCUACAUCAAGCCAGAGAACCUUCCAGAGAAGCUUCCUUCAUGUUCCUGCCUUGCCAAUCCCACACCCCCAGCAGAAGCACCACGGGCUUUUAUUACCACCGAUUAGCUUUGCCUGUUCCUGAACUUUAUAUAAAUGGAAUCAUGCCA